rnacentral:rRNA from 1 species
CCUACGGGCGGCAGCAGUGAGGAAUAUUGGUCAAUGGACGCAAGUCUGAACCAGCCAUGCCGCGUGCAGGAAGACGGCUCUAUGAGUUGUAAACUGCUUUUGUACGAGGAUAAACUCAGAUACGCGUAUCUGUCUGAAAGUAUCGUACGAAUAAGGAUCGGCUAACUCCGUGCCAGCAGCCGCGGUAAUACGGAGGAUUCAAGCGUUAUCCGGAUUUAUUGGGUUUAAAGGGUGCGUAGGCGGUCGGAUAAGUUAGAGGUGAAAGCCUGCGGCUCAACUGCGGAAUUGCCUCUGAUACUGGUCGGCUAGAGAGUAGUUGAGGUAGGCGGAAUGCAUGGUGUAGCGGUGAAAUGCUUAGAGAUCAUAAAGAACACCGAUUGCGAAGGCAGCUUACCAAGCUACCUCUGACGUUGAGGCACGAAAGCGUGGGUAGCAAACAGGAUUAGAUACCCUAGUAGUC